rnacentral:rRNA from 1 species
UACAGAGGGUGCGAGCGUUGUUCGGAAUUACUGGGCGUAAAGCGCACGUAGGCGGGUUCUUAAGUCAGGGGUGAAAUCCUGGAGCUCAACUCCAGAACUGCCUUUGAUACUGGGAAUCUCGAGUCCGGGAGAGGUGAGUGGAACUGCGAGUGUAGAGGUGAAAUUCGUAGAUAUUCGCAAGAACACCAGUGGCGAAGGCGACUCACUGGCCCGGUACUGACGCUGAGGUGCGAAAGCGUGGGGAGCAAACAGG